rnacentral:rRNA from 1 species
AUUGAACGCUGGCGGCAUGCCUUACACAUGCAAGUCGAACGGUAACGGGCCUUCGGGUGCCGGCGAGUGGCGAACGGGUGAGUAAUGCAUCGGAACGUGCCCGAUCGUGGGGGAUAACGAGGCGAAAGCUUUGCUAAUACCGCAUACGAUCUACGGAUGAAAGCAGGGGACCGCAAGGCCUUGCGCGGACGGAGCGGCCGAUGGCAGAUUAGGUAGUUGGUGGGAUAAAAGCUUACCAAGCCGACGAUCUGUAGCUGGUCUGAGAGGAUGAUCAGCCACACUGGGACUGAGACACGGCCCAGACUCCUACGGGAGGCAGCAGUGGGGAAUUUUGGACAAUGGGCGCAAGCCUGAUCCAGCCAUGCCGCGUGCAGGAUGAAGGCCUUCGGGUUGUAAACUGCUUUUGUACGGAACGAAAAGCCUUCUUUUAAUACAGGAGGGUCAUGACGGUACCGUAAGAAUAAGCACCGGCUAACUACGU